rnacentral:rRNA from 1 species
UACGGAGGGUGCGAGCGUUGUCCGGAAUCACUGGGCGUAAAGGGCGCGUAGGUGGCGGGAUAAGCGUGCGGUGAAAGCCCGGGGCUCAACUCCGGGUCGGCCGUGCGGACUGUCUUGCUUGAGCAUAGUAGAGGCAGGUGGAAUUCCGGGUGUAGCGGUGGAAUGCGUAGAGAUCCGGAAGAACACCGGUGGCGAAGGCGGCCUGCUGGGCUAUUGCUGACACUGAGGCGCGACAGCGUGGGGAGCAAACAGG